rnacentral:rRNA from 1 species
GUCUAAGUAUAAGCAACUAUACUGUGAAACUGCGAAUGGCUCAUUAAAUCAGUUAUCGUUUAUUUGAUAGUACCUUACUACUUGGAUAACCGUGGUAAUUCUAGAGCUAAUACAUGCGAAAAACCCCGACUUCGGAAGGGGUGUAUUUAUUAGAUAAAAAACCAAUGCCCUUCGGGGCUCUCUGGUGAUUCAUAAUAACUAAACGAAUCGCAUGGCCUUGCGCCGGCGAUGGUUCAUUCAAAUUUCUGCCCUAUCAACUUUCGAUUGUAGAGUAGUGGUCUACAAUGGUUUCAACGGGUAACGGGGAAUUAGGGUUCGACUCCGGAGAGGGAGCCUGAGAAACGGCUACCACAUCCAAGGAAGGCAGCAGGCGCGCAAAUUACCCAAUCCCGACACGGGGAGGUAGUGACAAUAAAUACUGAUACAGGGCUCUUUUGGGUCUUGUAAUUGGAAUGAGUACAAUUUAAAUCCCUUAACGAGGAACAACUGGAGGGCAAGUCUGGUGCCAGCAGCCGCGGUAAUUCCAGCUCCAGAAGCGUAUAUUAAAGUUGUUGCAGUUAAAAAGCUCGUAGUUGAAUUUUGGGCCUGGCUGGCCGGUCCGCCUCACCGCGUGCACUGGUCCGGCCGGGCCUUUCCUCCUGGGGAUCCGCAUGCCCUUUACUGGGUGUGUUGGGGAACCAGGACUUUUACUUUGAAAAAAUUAGAGUGUUCAAAGCAGGCCUUUGCUCGAAUACAUUAGCAUGGAAUAAUAGAAUAGGACGGCUUUCCUAUUUUGUUGGUUUCUAGGGAAGCCGUAAUGAUUAAUAGGGAUAGUCGGGGGCAUCAGUAUUCAAUUGUCAGAGGUGAAAUUCUUGGAUUUAUUGAAGACUAACUACUGCGAAAGCAUUUGCCAAGGAUGUUUUCAUUAAUCAGUGAACGAAAGUUAGGGGAUCGAAGACGAUCAGAUACCGUCGUAGUCUUAACCAUAAACUAUGCCGACUAGGGAUCGGGCGAUGUUACUAUCUUGACUCGCUCGGCACCUUACGAGAAAUCAAAGUUUUUGGGUUCUGGGGGGAGUAUGUCGCAAG